rnacentral:rRNA from 1 species
AUGAUGAAGGACAUGUCAAUGCUGCAACUUCUACUCUAUGUUUUGUUCCUGACGGUCUUGUCAGCCUGGUCGGCGACUGGCCACGUGGCUGUGCGCGCCCACCUCACACACAUCGACAACGCCCGUGGCUUGAGCAAGCAUGACCUGCUCCACCGGAUGGCCGCUCGGACGAGGGCCCGCGUAGUCAAGCGGUGGUCACCUCCGAGGCCGCGGCCGGGCGGCGGUGCCAAUGACACAGGGGUGAUUGCCUCGGUGUCCCGUGGCACCGUUGGCGACCAGAAUUCCGAUUCCGAGUACCUCAUCCACUUUAGCAUCGGCACGCCGCCGCAGCGGGUGGUGCUGGCUCUCGACACCAGCAGCGACUUCAUCUGGACGCAGUGCGGUUGCAAGUCCUGCUUCAACCAGCCGUUCCUGCCCGUUGACACCUCCGCCUCCACCACCCACGCCGAUGUCUCGUGCUUCGACCGUGUCUGCGCGUGGGGAGGCCUCCCGCUCUCCGGGUGCACCGUCAACGACAACUUCUGCUUCUACGUUCACUCCUAUGGUGACAACUCGUUCACGACGGGCAAGCUCUCUGAGGACACCUUCACCUUCCAGGCGGCAAGUGGGAAGGCCGUCGCCAUGCCCAGCCUCCGAUUUGGCUGUGGCAUGUACAACAUCGGCAAUUUCAAAACAAACGAGUCCGGCAUCGCUGGCUUUGGCCGCGGGAAGAUGUCUCUGCCGUCGCAGCUCAAGGUCCCGAGUUUCUCCUACUGCUUUACGAGCAUGGUAGAGUCCGGGAACAGCCCCAUGUUCUUGGGCACAUAUGGCAACCUUAGAGCGCAAGCCACGGGGCCAACCCAAUCGACCCCGUUCGCCCGAAGCCCCGCGGGUCGGACCAGCUCGCUGUACUACCUUUCGCUCAAAGGCGUCACUGUGGGCAACAGGCGGCUGCCGUUCGACGCGUCCACGUUCGGGCUCAGGCGCGAUGGCUCUGGCGGGACGAUCAUCGACUCCGGUACCGGCAUCACGACAUUUCCGCGGGCCGUGUUCCGGACACUCCGGGAGGCGUUCGUGUCGCAGGUGUCGCUGCCUGUCGCCGACAGGUCCGCCGACGACCCGGAUAGCAUGUUGUGCUUCUCCACCUAUAGCAUCCCGGACAUACCGGAGCUGAUCCUCCACCUGGAGGGCGCAGACUGGCAACUUCCGCGAGAGAACUACGUGCUGGAUUUCGCCGACGACACCACGUGUGUGGUGAUAAAUUCGGGGGGCGACAGCGACGUGACGAUCAUAGGCAACUUCCAGCAGCAGAACAUGCACAUCGCCUACGACCUGGGGAGCAACAAGCUCUUCUUCGCGGCCGCGCGCUGCGACAAGCUGUGA